GACGAACGCUGGCGGCGUGCUUAACACAUGCCAGUCGAACGGAAAGGCCCUGCUUUUGUGGGGUGCUCGAGUGGCGAACGGGUGAGUAACACGUGAGUAACCUGCCCUUGACUUUGGGAUAACUUCAGGAAACUGGGCUAAUACCGGGUAGGAGCUUCCGCUUCCUUGUGGGGGGUGGAAAGUUUCGGCGGUUGGGGGUGGACUCGCGGCUUAUCAGCUUGUUGGUGGGGUAGUGGCUUACCAAGGCUUUGACGGGUAGCCGGCCUGAGAGGGUGACCGGCCACAUUGGGACUGAGAUACGGCCCAGACUCCUACGGGAGGCAGCAGUGGGGAAUAUUGCACAAUGGGCGGAAGCCUGAUGCAGCAACGCCGCGUGCGGGAUGACGGCCUUCGGGUUGUAAACCGCUUUCGCCUGUGACGAAGCGUGAGUGACGGUAAUGGGUAAAGAAGCACCGGCUAACUACGUG
rnacentral:rRNA from 1 species